AUUGAACGCUGGCGGCAGGCCUAACACAUGCAAGUCGAGCGGAUGAAGGGAGCUUGCUCCUGGAUUCAGCGGCGGACGGGUGAGUAAUGCCUAGGAAUCUGCCUGGUAGUGGGGGAUAACGUCCGGAAACGGGCGCUAAUACCGCAUACGUCCUGAGGGAGAAAGUGGGGGAUCUUCGGACCUCACGCUAUCAGAUGAGACUAGGUCGGAUUAGCUAGUUGGUGGGGUAAAGGCCUACCAAGGCAACGAUCCGUAACUGGUCUGAGAGGAUGAUCAGUCACACUGGAACUGAAACACGCUCCAGACUCCUACGGGAGGCAGCAGUGGGGAAUAUUGGACAAUGGGCGAAAACCUGAUCCAGCCAUGCCGCGUGUGUGAGAAAGGUCUUCGGAUUGUAAAGCACUUUAAGUUGGGAGAAAGGGCAGUAAGUUAAUACCUUGCUGUUUUGACGUUAUCAACAGAGUAAGCACCGGCUAACUUCGUG
rnacentral:rRNA from 1 species